UUUAUUUUUAAUUUGGUUCUAUUUUAAAAAGAAACAAGUACACGUAAUUUUUCAUUUUUUGAAAAAUGCUAUCUAUCUAAAAAAUGUUUAAUAUAUAAUUGGUCACACUAAUAGUAAUAAUAAGACAUAAGACCCCGCAUAUCAAUCAGUCGGUUAAAAUUAGUCAUUUGUUUGUCGGGAACAGCGGGACAGUAGCAUUACCC
rnacentral:lncRNA from 1 species